AAUGGAAGAAUAAAAAAUCAGAUUUUUCCUCUUGAUUUUUAGCUUUUUCCUCCUGAAAAAAAAUUAAAUCCAACUAAAAAUACUAAAAAUCAAGAGAAAAAAUCUGAUUUGUUAUUCUCUUUUU
rfam:Gossypium hirsutum cultivar TM-1 chromosome 17, whole genome shotgun sequence